GGAUGUGAGAGUGAUCUGGCUGCAACAUCUCUCAUUCCAUUGACCACCAGGUUGAUUUGGCUGAUCUGGUUGACGAGGUGAGUGUCCCCUUUCCCCCUCACUGCUCCAUGUGUGUCCCUCCAGAAGCUACACACUUGGUCAAAGAGAAUGACCGUUUCCACUAAAGGAGGACCAUUCUUUUCUCAAGGGUAUAUGGGUAGCUGUGCUCCUCUGUUAGAUCCUCCAAAACAGUUCUCUAGAAAUGUCAAAAGUUAAAGAAUGCAAUACAUAGUCUUCAACCACUGUCCGACACAUGUAUUUCAUACGGCAUUUCUGU
rnacentral:snRNA from 1 species